AUUAUUAAAAUUUUAAAAUUUGAAAGCAAAAAUAAAAUGUUUUUGACAAUUUUAUAAAUGCAACCAAUAAGAUAAAGGAGACUGGGAGCUGGCCGCACG